ACAAAUAUUACAAUUGAGGUCUAUUUAUAGUGUAGAGACCACUAAACAAACAGACUAAACAAAGCAUCCAAAACUGCCUAAUAAAACAAAAUUGUUUUUCUAUUUUGCCUUCAGGAAAUUGCUAUUUCUGCAGCAAAUAAGAAGCCUUCCAAAAUAGCUUCUCAAAUAAGCUAUUCUCCAAAAACACUUCAAAAGCCAAUUACACUGCAUUUGACUUAUUCUAAUCAUCCAACAAUAAUCACUAAAUCUCUCCUAAAACAUAAAUUCAGCUGAACUAGUAUCCUAUGUUCUGUAAUUAUGUUGGACUUCAGAUAUAAUGAUCAGGAUACAUGUUUCAUAAAAAAAACUCGUUUGGUUCUAAAGAAUUAGAACAAAUGUUGGCCAAAAAACGAGUAGCAGAAAGGAGAAAAGGUUUAUCAGAGUAGAAGGGAAAAGAGAGAAAAAGAUAUUGUUCUUUUCAUAAAUUGUUAAAGGGGAAUAAAGUGAAUGUGGAUAUGUUUUUCUUCCUGCAGAGAACUAAAACAAGAGAUUUAUGUCUUCCUAUCUAUUUUUUAUUCAUGUGUGCUACAACAAGAUUUUUAUUGUAUUAUUGAUAGAAUUCAAUAUAGAUUAACCAAGUAAAUACAAACAGGCAGCAUAAAAAGUAAAACAAUGCGAUCCAUAUUUUGGAUCUAAAUGUACAACCAAACAGCAAAUACUCAAAAUAUAACAAAGAAAAAUUCGAUCUGGACUCUUACCGAAAGCCGAGCUACGAUGUUGUUGUCGGUGUUGAAAGUGAUGCUGCCUCGGGUACAAAAUCUCAAGCACCGUUGGAGAGUGAUGGUUUUGUGAAGUUUUGGUGGUUGAGUUGGUGGCCGGAAGUGGAGAGCACCGGUAGUUGUUAUUCGGAGAAGGGAAAGUGGAAGGUGAUUUGGAUGUUGUUUGCGGAUGCUUCAUGAGUUCACCAGCUGGUAGGUGUUUUUUCUUUCCGUUGCAGUCCG
rnacentral:lncRNA from 1 species